rnacentral:lncRNA from 1 species
UUGAUUUUUGGUUCACAUGCUUGUUAUUUUAGAUUCAGAUUUUUAUGUAUAUAAAUUUAUGUCAUAGAUCUGUUUGUAGGAGUUUCAAGAUCAAAUCUUAUGUAUGUAUUUAUAGAUUAAAUAGUUUAAUCUAAUAUUCUUCUACUAUAAAAUUUUUGAAAUGCAUGCAUGAAAUUCCUGUGCAUCCCAACAUGUGUAGCUCCA